rnacentral:tRNA from 1 species
GGUUCCAUGGUGUAAUGGUUAGCACUCUGGACUCUGAAUCCAGCAUUUUUUUUAAAAAAUUUUUUAACCA